rnacentral:rRNA from 1 species
GAUGAACGCUGGCGGCGUGCCUAAUACAUGCAAGUCGAGCGAACAGACGAGGAGCUUGCUCCUCUGACGUUAGCGGCGGACGGGUGAGUAACACGUGGAUAACCUACCUAUAAGACUGGGAUAACUUCGGGAAACCGGAGCUAAUACCGGAUAAUAUAUUGAACCGCAUGGUUCAAUAGUGAAAGACGGUUUUGCUGUCACUUAUAGAUGGAUCCGCGCCGCAUUAGCUAGUUGGUAAGGUAACGGCUUACCAAGGCAACGAUGCGUAGCCGACCUGAGAGUGUGAUCGGCCACACUGGAACUGAGACACGGUCCAGACUCCUACGGGAGGCAGCAGUAGGGAAUCUUCCGCAAUGAGCGAAAGCCUGACGGAGCAACGCCGCGUGAGUGAUGAAGGUCUUCGGAUCGUAAAACUCUGUUAUUAGGGAAGAACAAAUGUGUAAGUAACUAUGCACGUCUUGACGGUACCUAAUCAGAAAGCCACGGCUAACUACGUG